AGCAGCCGCGGUAAUUCCAGCUCCAAUAGCGUAUAUUAAAGUUGUUGCAGUUAAAAAGCUCGUAGUUGAAUUUCGGGAUUGACGUGAUGGUCAUGCCUUAAGGGGUAUGAACUGUUACUGUUGAUUUCUCACCUUCUGGAGAAACUUGAUGUCCUUUAUUGGGUGUCUUGCGGAUCCAGGACCUUUACCUUGAAAAAUUAGAGUGUUUAAAGCAGGCAUUUUUGCUCGAAUACAUUAGCAUGGAAUAAUAGAAUAGGACGGCAUGGUUCUAUUUUGUUGGUUUCUAGGAUCACCGUAAUGAUUAAUAGGGAUAGUUGGGGGCAUUAGUAUUCAAUUGUCAGAGGUGAAAUUCUUGGAUUUAUUGAAGACUAACUACUGCGAAAGCAUUUGCCAAGGAUGUUUUCAUUAAUCAAGAACGAAAGUUAGGGGAUCGAAGACGAUCAGAUACCGUCGUAGUCUUAACCAUAAACUAUGCCGACUAGGAAUCAGACGAUGUUAAUUUUU
rnacentral:rRNA from 1 species